rnacentral:rRNA from 1 species
UGUGACCUCAAAUCAGGUAGGACUACCCGCUGAACUUAAGCAUAUCAAUAAGCGGAGGAAAAGAAACUAACAAGGAUUCCCCUAGUAACUGCGAGUGAAGCGGGAAAAGCUCAAAUUUAAAAUCUGGCAGUCUUUGGCUGUCCGAGUUGUAAUCUAGAGAAGCGUUAUCCGCGUUGGACCGUGUACAAGUCUCCUGGAAUGGAGCGUCAUAGAGGGUGAGAAUCCCGUCUUUGACACGGACUGCCAGGGCUUUGUGAUGCGCUCUCAAAGAGUCGAGUUGUUUGGGAAUGCAGCUCAAAAUGGGUGGUAAAUUCCAUCUAAAGCUAAAUAUUGGCGAGAGACCGAUAGCGAACAAGUACCGUGAGGGAAAGAUGAAAAGAACUUUGGAAAGAGAGUUAAACAGUACGUGAAAUUGCUGAAAGGGAAACGCUUGAA